GAUGAACGCUGGCGGCGUGCCUAAUACAUGCAAGUCGAGCGAACAGACGAGGAGCUUGCUCCUCUGACGUUAGCGGCGGACGGGUGAGUAACACGUGGAUAACCUACCUAUAAGACUGGGAUAACUUCGGGAAACCGGAGCUAAUACCGGAUAAUAUAUUGAACCGCAUGGUUCAAUAGUGAAAGACGGUUUUGCUGUCACUUAUAGAUGGAUCCGCGCCGCAUUAGCUAGUUGGUAAGGUAACGGCUUACCAAGGCAACGAUGCGUAGCCGACCUGAGAGGGUGAUCGGCCACACUGGAACUGAGGCACGGUCCAGACUCCUACGGGAGGCAGCAGUAGGGAAUCUUCCGCAAUGGGCGAAAGCCUGACGGAGCAACGCCGCGUGAGUGAUGAAGGUCUUCGGAUUGUAAAACUCUGUUAUUAGGGAAGAACAAAUGUGUAAGUAACUAUGCACGUCUUGACGGUACCUAAUCAGAAAGCCACGGCUAACUACGUG
rnacentral:rRNA from 1 species